UCUCAAACACACACAACCAAAGUUUCUCAAUGAUAUAGACCUUGUAGCUGGCUUGAUAACCACUUAACCUGAGCUAGCAAUCAUAUAUCAGGCAUGGUGUUUUAUGAUGGAUGGAAACUUUCGGCUUGCAUCUUACUUAGUCUUUUUCUCCAAAUCUUCUUAGUUGUGGCCGGAUCGUUUAGAAGGUUAGCCUCCCGAAGAUGGAUUGUCAAGAUUAUCUGGUUCGCGUAUCUUCUUGCAGAAUUUGUUGCUGUUUUUGGACUCGGACUCAUUGUGAGCAGGCAAAGUUUAUUAUACAAUGAUUACAAGGAUGACAUCGUCCAAGUUCGUUGCAUGGUGCACGGGGUUUCUGAUAGUUGCAAAGAUGAUCAUAUUCUGAUGUACUGGGCUACUUUUUUACUCGUGCACCUUGGCGGUCCAGACACCAUCACUGCUUUUGCAACCGAGGACAAUGAACUGUGGCUCAGAAAUUUGUUUUAUCUGUCUUCAAAGUGCAUUGCAGUAGCUUAUGCUAUCUAUCAGUCUGUAGAGACUAAUUACAGAGUAGAGGUCCCGAUUCUACUCUUGUUUUUGUACGGGAUCAUCAAGUGCACUGAGCGUACGUGUGCUCUGUAUUAUGGAAGUGCUAAAAGCUUUCGCAAUUCCAUGCUUUCAAAAAGUAAUUUGGGGGUCAAUGAUUUUUCAAAAAAAGAGGACACACUGCUGAUAAAAAUGAAUGGUGAGGCUUUAUUUAAUAUAGAAGUGCUGCAAUGUGCUUCUGUAUUCUUCAUGACAUUCAAAGGACUCGUAGUGGACCUCAGUGUUGGCAUCCAUGAUCUCAACCAGAGCCGUGACUUCUUCCUUCAAAGGUCUAGCCAAGACGCUUUUAGGCUAGUUGAAGUAGAGUUGAAUUACCUCUAUGAUGUUCUUUUCACCAAAAUCCCUGUGUUGCAUAGCAAACUUGGCCUAUGUGGUCGCACUCUAUCCUUUAUGGCAGUUGUUUCUUCCUUGGUGGUCUUCUAUUGUGAUUUUGGGGUAAAAGUUGUCAAUUAUAAGAUCGAUUUAGUCCUUACAUACAUUUUGUAUUUCGGAGCAAUUGUGUUAGAGGUGAUUGCAUUUUACAUGCUACUUUUCUGCGACUGGACAGUUGUUAAGCUCCGGCUUUUGUCUGAUGCAAACCCCAAUCACAAAUCAUGGAAAGACAAGUUCCUUGACUGCAUACUGUCUGUUAACAAUACUAGAAGUGCGUUCUAUAAUUCCUUUCUUCGGCUUAUUGGAGACAGAAAUCAUCAGAGGCCAAAUUUACUGAUAGAAGGUGGGCUAACUCUUUGUCAACAUUCAACUUGAUAUCUUAUUGUUUAAAUAGAUGUUCUAAAGGAAGGGAAAAUUUUUAUACUUACUUCGGCCUUUCCCGAUUUCUAAAUAGAUUUUUGUAUGUAAAAUUACAACCAUUCACCCAACACAUAGCUAGCUUCAUCUUCAACGAGCUGAAAAUGAAAUCAAAGAUAGCUAGCAAUCUAGCCGUGGCAAAAGAAAUCUGUACGUCUAAAGGAGAGUGGGUGCUUAAUGAAUUGGGAGAAGACCGUGGACCAGGUAACUAAUAAGGAACUACGCGACACUGCAAAGCAGCUAUCCGACUACAUGCUAUAUCUUAUGAUUAUGAAGCCUGAGAUGAUGUCUGCAGUUUCUAGCAUUGGCGAAACAAAGUUCCAAGACACUUGCACCGAGGUCAGCAAAUAUUUCCAAACCAAAUUACCUGAACUAGAGAAAAGAAAGUUCAGUACUUUCUUUCACAGAAAGAGCAAGGAAGAGAAGGAACCCUUACAGAAAAAGGCCUGUGAAACAAUUCUUAGGCCCAAAACAGAAGUUGAUGAGCUGGUAACUGUAUGCAGAGAUAAAAGUUUAUUCUUCACUGCAUCAGUAUUGGCUAGAGAGCUAAAAGAUAUGCCUUCCGAGAGAAAAUGGAUGAUAAUAAGCAAAUUGUGGGUAGAACUGCUAUCAUAUGCGGCAAGUCAUGUCAGGUCAAGUGCGCAUGCUGAACAGCUAAGUAAAGGUGGGCAGCUCAUAACUGUUGUUUGGUUACUUAUGGCUCAUUUUGGCUUGGGAGAUCACUAUGAGAUUGACCUGUGAAAGGAAGCAUUAUAAUUGAUGGUUAAUGGAAUAUUUAGCUAUCUAUUAAAAUUAUUAUAUAUGUCAAAUUUGUAUAAAUGAAUCAGAACUGGGAAUAUAUUGUUUUUGGUAAUAUAA